rnacentral:rRNA from 1 species
AGUGAACGCUGGCGGUAGGCCUAACACAUGCGAGUCGAACGGCAGCACAGUAAGAGCUUGCUCUUACGGGUGGCGAGUGGCGGACGGGUGAGGAAUACAUCGGAAUCUACUUUUUCGUGGGGGAUAACGUAGGGGAACUUACGCUAAUACCGCAUACGACCUACGGGUGAAAGCAGGGGAUCUUCGGACCUUGCGCGAUUGAAUGAGCCGAUGUCGGAUUAGCUAGUUGGCGGGGUAAAGGCCCACCAAGGCGACGAUCCGUAGCUGGUCUGAGAGGAUGAUCAGCCACACUGGAACUGAGACACGGUCCAGACUCCUACGGGAGGCAGCAGUGGGGAAUAUUGGACAAUGGGCGCAAGCCUGAUCCAGCCAUACCGCGUGGGUGAAGAAGGCCUUCGGGUUGUAAAGCCCUUUUGUUGGGAAAGAAAAGCAGCAGGUUAAUACCCCGCUGUUCUGACGGUACCCAAAGAAUAAGCACCGGCUAACUUCGUG